rnacentral:rRNA from 1 species
UACGGGGGGUGCGAGCGUUGUCCGGAUUCACUGGGCGUAAAGGGCGCGUAGGCGGCUGGCUCAGUCGGGCCUGUAAGUGCGGGGCUCAACCCCGUGAUGGGCUCGGGACGGGUUGGCUGGGGCGCGGUCGAGGGAGACGGAAUGCCAGGUGUAGUGGUGAAAUGCGUAGAGAUCCGGCGGAACACCGGUGGUGAAGGCGGUCUCCUGGGCCGAGGGCCGACGCUGAGGCGCGAGAGCGUGGGGAGCGAACCGG